rnacentral:rRNA from 1 species
CUUUACUAUAGCUUGACACUGAAUAUUGAGCCUUGAUGUGUAGGAUAGGUGGGAGGCAUCGAAGCGUGGACGCCAGUCUGCGUGGAGCCAACCUUGAAAUACCACCCUUUAAUGUUUGAUGUUCUAACUCGGCCCCAUAAUCUGGGGUGAGGACAGUGUCUGGUGGGUAGUUUGACUGGGGCGGUCUCCUCCCAAAGAGUAACGGAGGAGCACGAAGGUUAGCUAAUCACGGUCGGACAUCGUGAGGUUAGUGCAAAGGCAUAAGCUAGCUUGACUGCGAGAGUGACGGCUCGAGCAGGUACGAAAGUAGGUCUUAGUGAUCCGGUGGUUCUGAAUGGAAGGGCCAUCGCUCAACGGAUAAAAGGUACUCCGGGGAUAACAGGCUGAUACCGCCCAAGAGUUCAUAUCGACGGCGGUGUUUGGCACCUCGAUGUCGGCUCAUCACAUCCUGGGGCUGAAGUAGGUCCCAAGGGUAUGGCUGUUCGCCAUUUAAAGUGGUACGCGAGCUGGGUUUAGAACGUCGUGAGACAGUUCGGUCCCUAUCUGCCGUGGGCGUUGGAAGAUUGAGAGGGGCUGCUCCUAGUACGAGAGGACCGGAGUGGACGCAUCACUGGUGUUCGGGUUGUCAUGCCAAUGGCAUUGCCCGGUAGCUAAAUGCGGAAAAGAUAAGCGCUGAAAGCAUCUAAGCGCGAAACUUGCCUCGAGAUGAGUCUUCCCUGGGGCUUUAAGCCCCCUGAAGGAACGUUAAAGACUAUGACGUUGAUAGGCUGGGUGUGUAAGUGCAGCGAUGCAUUGAGCUAACCAGUACUAAUGAUCCGUGAGGCUUAACCUUACAACACCGAAGGUGUUU